UACAGAGGGGGCAAGCGUUGUUCGGAAUUACUGGGCGUAAAGGGCGCGUAGGCGGCCUGUUAAGUCGAACGUGAAAUCCCCGGGCUCAACCCGGGAACUGCGUCCGAUACUGGCAGGCUUGAAUCCGGGAGAGGGAUGCGGAAUUCCAGGUAUAGCGGUGAAAUGCGUAGAUAUCUGGAGGAACACCGGUGGCGAAGGCGGCAUCCUGGACCGGCAUUGACGCUGAGGCGCGAAAGCCAGGGGAGCAAACGGG
rnacentral:rRNA from 1 species